AGUGAACGCUGGCGGUAGGCCUAACACAUGCAAGUCGAACGGCAGCACAGUAAGAGCUUGCUCUUACUGGUGGCGAGUGGCGGACGGGUGAGGAAUACAUCGGAAUCUACUUUUUCGUGGGGGAUAACGUAGGGAAACUUACGCUAAUACCGCAUACGACCUACGGGUGAAAGCAGGGGAUCUUCGGACCUUGCGCGAUUGAAUGAGCCGAUGUCGGAUUAGCUAGUUGGCGGGGUAAAGGCCCACCAAGGCGACGAUCCGUAGCUGGUCUGAGAGGAUGAUGAGCGACACUGGGACUGAGACACGGUCCAGACUCCGACGGGAGGCAGCGGUGGGGAAUAUUGGACAAUGGGCGCAAGCCUGAUCCAGCCAUACCGCGUGGGUGAAGAAGGCCUUCGGGUUGUAAAGCCCUUUUGUUGGGAAAGAAAAGCAGCAGGUUAAUACCCCGCUGUUCUGACGGUACCCAAAGAAUAAGCACCGGCUAACUUCGUG
rnacentral:rRNA from 1 species